UACGGAGGGUGCGAGCGUUGUCCGGAAUCACUGGGCGUAAAGGGCGCGUAGGUGGCGCGGGAAGUCAACGGUGAAAGCUCGACGCUCAACGUCGAGUCGGCCGUCGAAACUGCCGCGCUCGAGCACUGUAGAGGCAGAUGGAAUUCCGGGGUGUAGCGGUGGAAUGCGUAGAGAUCCGGAAGAACACCGGUGGCGAAGGCGGUCUGCUGGGCAGGAGGCGUAACAGCCUAUAAUGCUGACACUGAGGCGCGACAGCGUGGG
rnacentral:rRNA from 1 species